ensembl:snoRNA SNORA70 Small nucleolar RNA SNORA70
CUGCAACCAAUUAAGCCAACCAUGCUCAUUUAUUUCCUCACAGGGGCCCAGUGUGCAAUGGCUGCAAACAGCAGCCUCCCUGGUAGAGUAUGCAGCCUGCUGCAUAUAUGAGUUGUUCUUAAGGGACCUUGGAGACAGUC